rnacentral:lncRNA from 1 species
GAAGAAGAUUGUCUGACCCAAUAAGUAACCCUCCAGAUAAACGAACCAGAGUUGCCCUUCCUCCUGCCUUGCCCCCACCUACAGCUCCACUUGCUCAAGCUAACCAACCCUGUCAGCAUUGUGAUCACUUGCAAUGUGACUUGUCCUAUCAAUAAUGCUUGUUAUCAGUGCCAAAACAACCAGUACCUUAUAAAGGACUGCCCUCAGCGAUCAAAGAUUGUAGCUCGACCUGUAGCACAAGGUCGAGUGUACCAUUUAAAUGAAUUUGAUGCCCUUCUUGCUCCUGUCCUCAUCCAGGCUAUACUUCUAUUCAUAAU